rnacentral:lncRNA from 1 species
UUGCAAUCAGGACCAACUAUAUGAAGGGCACGAGAGGGACCGUUCUCAAUAGGAUCAAUCAUGUUAAGCUGAGGGAUGAUCUCUUUGUUCGGAUCAGCGAUUAUUGGGUAUGUCACUUUGCUUCCAGGCUAUAUCAAUUUUAUAAGUCACAAUAAAAGAAGAACACAAUGUUAGUUGCAAUUAAUCAAAACGAGAACGUAACAGGUAUGUCAAAAUGUUAACUAGUUUUACAUUAUAUGCAUCAUGCAUGCAUGAAAUUAAAUCUUACAGUAAAUGCCUCAAUGUCGGGGAUCCAAUCUUUGUGCGACUGUAUGUCGUCACAAGACAAACCAAGGAGCUUCACACCUCUCUGCUCGAACUCAUGAGCGUAUUUUCCCAUCGCACCAAGCUCGGUUGUGCAUACGGGUGUGAAAUCCCCUUGGAGUCCAUUGGUCAAUAAGGAGAGUAAAUAAAUUGGAGAUGCUUCAAAUAUUUUGAUCAAUUUAAGGAAAAAAACGAAACUUGACUGGGUUAGUCAAGAUAUAAGGAUGUUCUUAUAUAC